UACGUAGGGUGCAAGCGUUGUCCGGAAUUAUUGGGCGUAAAGAGCUCGUAGGCGGUCUGUCGCGUCGGCUGUGAAAACUCGGGGCUCAACCCCCGAGCCUGCAGUCGAUACGGGCAGACUAGAGUGCUGUAGGGGAGACUGGAAUUCCUGGUGUAGCGGUGAAAUGCGCAGAUAUCAGGAGGAACACCGGUGGCGAAGGCGGAUCUCUGGGCCGAUACUGACGCUGAGGAGCGAAAGCGUGGGGAGCAAACAG
rnacentral:rRNA from 1 species